rnacentral:rRNA from 1 species
AUUGAACGCUGGCGGCAUGCCUAACACAUGCAAGUCGAACGAGUGGCGGACGGGUGAGUAAUGUCUGGGAAACUGCCUGAUGGAGGGGGAUAACUACUGGAAACGGUAGCUAAUACCGCAUACCAUCGGAUGUGCCCAGAGGGGAUUAGCUAGUAGGUGGGGUAAAGGUUCACCUAGGCGACGAUCCCUAGCUGGUCUGAGAGGAUGACCAGCCAAACUGGAACUGAGACACGGUCCAGACUCCUACGUGAGGCAGCAGGGGGGAAGAUGGCACAAUGGGCGCAAGCCUGAUGCAGCCAUGCCGCGUGUAUGAGGAAGGCCUUCGGGUUGUAGAGUACUUUCAGCGGGGAGGCGUUACCCGCAGAAGAAGCACCGGCUAACUCCGUGCCAGCAGCCGCGGUAAUAC